CCACCCAUCAUUUUUACGCACCGCCCGCCAACAGUAUGCAGUGCCACUUGCAGUUUACUGCACUUUAAGCCUCAUUUUCUGUUAUCACUAAAACAUGACAGCUGCUCAAGCAGCACAACUAAGUUGAUAAUAAUUGGGCUGCAAGGGGAAAAUUUGAAUCCUCACAAUUUACAAAUUCUUUCAUGCUCUCUGAAUUUUCUACCCUAAAAGAGAAGUGGCUCAGAAGCACGGGGCCCUUCCAAUCAAAGAGACUUUACAGAACA
rnacentral:misc_RNA from 1 species